UUCUGUGACUCGGGUGGCUCCUGUCCAGAUCCUAGUUUGUCCUCUGGAGCACUCCCAGGUCCUCCAGACCAUGAGCUGCGGCCCUGAUGUCUCUGCUCCAGCCACGGACUGAGAGUGCAUAGGAGUGUCCCCAAACAGCAGUCACGAUGGUCACAACCUUGGCUUCCAGACAGUGAGUGCUAUCCACAGACAGACCCGGUGCUGUGCCACGUGUGUGACUCACAGCCUCUCCUGUAAUCUCCACAACCCCUCGAGGAGGUAGAGGUUAUUGUCUCCAUCUUUAUAAGCACUAAAGGAUGAGCCUGCCAGCCACAGGUCCCACUGCCAUCACCAUCGAGGCUGAGCCAAGAGCUGAUGGCAGCCGCCGGACCA
rnacentral:sRNA from 1 species